AAGGCGUCUUUAAACCUCCAGCGGCGGCCGGGGCUGGGGAUUUCCAGCAGACCUCACCUCCACUCCGGAGUCGGGCGCCACCCUCCCCCAGCCUAGGCGGGCGCCCCCAUGGCUUUGCUGGAACCAACAGGCCACGCGGCUCGUUCCUUGCACACCAAGGAAAGCCUGGAGUUCAGAGUUCCAGUUCCCAAGGGCUGUCUGCUAAGAAACAAAUACUCCAGGAAGAAAAGCACUCUGGCAGGUUCCCCAAUGCUGGGUCCCACUGAGGGUGGAUUAUGGCAUUUCAGAGGCUUCCUGACACUGAAUCAGCUCUCUGGACUCUGCUGAAUGGCCUGGUGCUACCCUGAGUGGCCUUCACCAGUGGUCAAACCAUCCAAAUCUUCCAAGAACAAUGAAAAGAUGCCCUCUUUCCAGAGGCCUGAAAGGAUUCAACAGACAAAAAAAAUCUGCUUUACGAAUGCAGCAUGCUAUGUACAUAUAUAAGGUGUUACAACUGUUUCUUUUGCUAUUUUACUUGUCUCAAAACUAAGUUCUUGCUUUCAGGAACCUACUUUCAGGCAAGAUUUUCUUUUCCCCUGAAAAGAUUCUGUUGGCCUCAAGGUGACCCUCUGCUAGGCUCCGCCCAGAGAGACUUUUUCCAACAUUGACCCAGUGUCCCCCUCCGAGGCAUCCCUUUCCACUACUCUUCCACAACGCUGUCCAUCUAGCCUGAACAUGGACAACCUUUUAACAGCUGUGCUUUCUCCUUGCUUCUUGUUAGGUCCUUUGUCAAAGAGUUCAAAACCACCUCAGCACAAAGUUAAGUUACAGUAACUUGACAUGCUACUGAGAAGUCCUGCAUUCUCUUCUCCUUUACCCUUGAAAACCCACGGGACUCUCCUCCCUCAGUUUCACACUUACUUCACCUGUUCUGGGGCAGGGCCAAGCUGGCCACACCAGCCCACAGCUGUCUGCACCCCUCAUCCCUCCCACGGCCCCUCCCCAGCCUUCCUCCCCUGCAGGUCUGGACCAGGUUCUGAGCGCCUUUGUCAGGCCUGAGAGGGAGCUUCUGUAGAUAGCUCCAGCUGCUGCUGUCACUCUGGGACAGACGUCUGGCUGGGUGCAGAGAGAAGGACAAAACAGGUGUGGCUGCCAAGGAGGGCAGGCCAGCAGGGCCACGGGACAGAAACACCCUGUCUUCACAGAGCAGGAACUGCUGGCUUCCCAGGGGCCUCACUUCAGCGGAGUCCAUGCCCUCACAGGGCCAGCCAGGACACACUCCCUCACUGGCUAUCCUCAGGAGCAAGCCAGGAGGAGCAGGAUCCCCAGAUCCAAUGUGCACUGUGGGGUACACUUUAAAGCAUUAUUUUUAAAUGAAAACAAAUACUAAUAAAUCAUGAACUAGAAUCCAA